GACGAACCGAGCGAACGUUGUUCGGAAUCACUGGGCUUAAAGGGCGCGUAGGCGGGUGCGUUUGUCCGGGGUGAAAGCCCUGGGCUCAACCUGGGAAUGGCAUUGGAUACUGGCGAUCUAGAGUGCGGUAGAGGGCAGUGGAAUUCCCGGUGUAGCAGUGAAAUGCGUAGAGAUCGGGAGGAACAUCUGUGGCGAAGGCGACUGCCUGGACCAGCACUGACACUGAGGCACGAAAGCGUGGGGAGCAAACAGG
rnacentral:rRNA from 1 species